CUUGUGGUCCAUGGGAAACAUGUCCACAACUAAGGCCUGGAACGGCUCGUUAGUGACCAUGUUCAUCCUCCUGGGAUUUGCAGACCAUCCGGAACUCCAGGCCCCCCUCUUUGUGACCUUCCUGGGCAUCUAUCUUGUGACCCUGGCCUGGAAACUGGCCCUCAUCUUUCUGAUCAGAGGUGACACCCACCUACACACACCAAUGUACUUCUUGCUCAGCAGCCUGUCCUUCAUUGACAUUUGCUACUCUUCCACAUUGGCUCCCAAAAUGCUCACUGAUGUCUUCCAGGAGCAGAAGACCAUAUCAUUCUUGGGCUGUGCCGCUCAGUUCUUUUUCUUUGUCGGCAUAUGUCUGAGUGCUUCCUCCUGAUUCCUAUGGCAUACAACCGAUACGCCACCAUUUCCAGCCCCCCUGCUGUACACUGCUGUCAUGUCCCAGGGCCUCUGUACACGCAUGGUGGUUGGGGCCUAUGUCAGUGGCUUCUGGAGCUCCGUGGUCCAAGCCAGCUUCAUGUUUCAGCUUCACUUCUGCGGACCCAACAUCAUCAACCAUUUCCUCUGUGACAUCCCACCAGUCCUGGCACUU